AACAUACGGAUUACGAGGGGCUUGUAAAUUUAGCUGCCGCAGACGAAAACCUUGUGGCGCGGGUGCCUGCCAUUGUGGACGCUGCGGAGGUCGGGCAUACGCUUGAGCAUUAAGAACAGCAGGUUGAGGCGUAUAAUAAUGUUGAGGAGGGCUGGGUUGUCCCUGUUGGACAUGAACGUAAGGGGAGUUCCGUCCCCUUUGGGCAUUGCCUGAUCCUGACGCCACCAUGGAUCCUUCCUCCUUCUUCUUCCGAUUUCCGAAAC
rnacentral:lncRNA from 1 species